GAAGACGGGAGUGCGCGCUGAGUGGCUGACGGCGCUGCACGGAAGAGGCUCGGCGAGAGACUGGCUACUGUGGCGCCUCUGUGUGGCUUCGGGAGGUAGCUUGUGGCUUCUGGGCCUGUUUUGUCCUGGUGAAGAGAACAAGAUGUCGCCCCCGUGAUGGGCUCUCAAAUCCUGAGCCUUCGGUCCUGGGAGCCUGCCGGAGCUGAUUGUGCUGGCCAGGGCUCUACCCGCUCACGGGGCGUGUUGCCAACACCGCUGGCUACAGAGUUCAGGCUACAGCCCUGCCCUGCCCCAUUUUCAAGCCUGCGAACCAGUCGUUCCUUCCUGAACAAAUCUCCAAACGUACUGAGGCCAGUUCCGGAUUAAAGUUCAGGUGUCACCUCUUUAGCUAGGCCAGCUCUGGCCCUGUGCUCCCUCCAAGGGACGCCACUAGUGCAGAACGGUCUUUGUAGCGCUUCAGUUAUCCUGCCUGUUUAUUCACGAUGCUCUGCGCCCACGUACCCAUUCCACUAGAUGGUGGGGCUUCCCCAAGCCAGGAGUCUGCAGUCAGUUCUCUGUGUACCCGGACCUCAGAACAGAGCCUAUCACAUACUCUAUAAACACUCGUAUGUCCCUGGCAUUCCGGAGUUUUCUUCAACCUGGUCCUGGCCAGAUAGGGAAUGGAAGACUGCUCUGAGAGCGGCAGAGUGAGGAAGAGACUUGCUGCCUAAAAAUUGAGAACUAUUAACCAAACUCUUCAAUACCGGAACACUUGAUGACCCAAGCGUUCAAUACCGGAAGAGGCAGGUGGAUCUGUGAGUGUUCCAGGCUACACGGUGAGACUGCUAGUUACUUUUCUGUUGCUGUGGUAAAACACCAUGACCGAAGGCAACUUUAGGGAAGAUGGAGUUUAUUGUGUCUCACAGUUCCAGGAGGAUAAGAGCCCAUUAUAGCUGGAAGGCAUGGCCGGCCACAAGCAGCAGGAAAACCUGGCUCGGGGAGAAGGAUGCUGAGAGAUAACACUGUACCUUAAGUGGGAACCUGAGAGAGAGCUGGAAGUGGGGCCAGGCUAUAGGCUCUCAAAGCCACCCCAGGCACAUUUCUUCAUCCAGCAAGACCACACACCUCCGUACCUCCCCACAAACCAUCACAAAUUGGGGACUAAACGUUCAAAUACACGUGCCUAUGAGGGCCAUUUCUUAUUCAAACCACCACAGAGACCCUGUCUCAAAUAAAUAAAUAAGGAGCAAUGGUCAGCACAUCUGUGAUUCCAGAAUUUGGAUAGUGGAGGCAAGGGUUCAAGGUUAUCUGACCCUGGCUACAGAUUGACUUGAGGUCAGCCUAUGCUACAUGAGUCUCCGUCUCAAAGAAACAAACAAGUGAAAAAAAAAAAAAAUCAGGAGCUAGGCUGUGGAAGGGCACCUACUACCCUGGGAUAUGAGGCUGGAUCUAAUAUCAGUUAAGUAUUAUUCUGCUUUUAAUCUCAGCACUUGGGAGGCUGAGACAGGAGGAUCACAGACACAAGCCAGUCUGUUCUACAGAGUAAGACCUUUGUUUCAAAAGGGGUGAGGGUGGAUAUGGGGGCUCCUCUUGUGUCUAGAAGUAAGGAACCUAUGCAAUGUGUACCAGAGGUCUGAACUGUGGUCUUCACGCUUGCGCAGAGAGCACAGCUCCUGUUACCAUCAGAGCCAUCUUCCCAGCCUUCCCUGUUGCCUUCCUUAGGGUCCUUACUGACUGGCCAUCUCCUUUCUCUCUGGCUGAACCUCCUCACAGUUGCUUCUCUUCCUAAAGAUAGCAUCGGUCAGGGGUCAAAGGCCUCACUGAGGCACCUCCCUGCUACUUCAGAUCCUGUCUGCACUCAUACUUCAAGCGACCGGCAAGAUGUCAAACGUAAAGCCAGAGAGGAGACUUCACUCUUGAGAUUUUGACGGACACUUCCACAGAAAGAAGACUGGCUGUCACAGCAGGCGUCACACUAGCAUGGCCCCCUGACUGGUCAUAUAUGACCUCCAGGCCAUGCUGACUCACGACCUGGAAAAGCAGAACUGAUAUCAAAGUGGAAAACAGUUGAAGCUCAUUCCAAAAUCCAGACAGAUCUUGUCAUCUUAGGGAAGAGUCAUGGGGUCAGGAGAGUUGCUAUGACUACUGAACUGUCCAGAGGAAGAGUCACAGGUUGGAGAGAUGACUCAGAGGUUAAGAGCACUUGCUACUCUCAGAGGACUAGAGUUUAGAUCCCAGCACUUCCAACCAUGUCAGCUCCAGCCCUAGGACAAAAAGACCAUCGGAAAACACAGGUUAUUUACAUUAUGAUUCAUAACAGUAGCAGAAUUACACAAAACAACUUUACGGUUGGGAGACACCAUUACAUGUAGAACUGUAUUAAAGAUUGCAUCAUUAGGAAGUGUGAGAACCGCUGGUCUAGGGGAACCAACACCCUUGCCUGCCCUCCAUGAAUACCUUGUACAAAUAUGCUCUUACACAGCCAUAAAUAAAAUAAAUCUAAAAAAACG
rnacentral:lncRNA from 1 species